UACGUAGGGUGCAAGCGUUGUCCGGAAUUAUUGGGCGUAAAGAGCUCGUAGGCGGUGUGUCGCGUCGGCCGUGAAAACCUGCAGCUUAACUGUGGGCUUGCGGUCGAUACGGGCAUCACUGGAGUUCGGCAGGGGAGACUGGAAUUCCUGGUGUAGCGGUGAAAUGCGCAGAUAUCAGGAGGAACACCGGUGGCGAAGGCGGGUCUCUGGGCAACAACUGACGCUGAGGAGCGAAAGCGGUGGGAGCGAACAGG
rnacentral:rRNA from 1 species